AGGACGAACGCUGGCGGCGUGCUUAACACAUGCAAGUCGAGCGGAAAGGCCCUUCGGGGUACUCGAGCGGCGAACGGGUGAGUAACACGUGAGUAAUCUGCCCCUAGCUCUGGGAUAGCUCCGGGAAACCGGGAUUAAUACCGGAUACGACCACUUUAGACAUCUGUUGUGGUGGAAAGAAUUUUGGCUAGGGAUGAGCUCGCGGCCUAUCAGCUUGUUGGUGGGGUAACGGCCUACCAAGGCGACGACGGGUAGCCGGCCUGAGAGGGCGACCGGCCACACUGGGACUGAGACACGGCCCAGACUCCUACGGGAGGCAGCAGUGGGGAAUAUUGCGCAAUGGGCGAAAGCCUGACGCAGCGACGCCGCGUGGGGGAUGAAGGCCUUCGGGUUGUAAACCCUUUCAGCAGGGACGAAGCGAAAGUGACGGUACCUGCAGAAGAAGCGCCGGCUAACUACGUGCCAGCAGCCGC
rnacentral:rRNA from 1 species